GCUGUAACACUCACUUUGGCAGCACAUAUAAUUGAAAUGAUACAGAGAUUAGCAUGGCCUCUGUGCAAGGAUAACACACAAAUUCGUGAAGUGUUCCAUAUUUUU
ensembl:snRNA U6 U6 spliceosomal RNA